rnacentral:tRNA from 1 species
GGGGUUGUGACUCAGCAGUAGAGUGCUCACCUUGCACGUGUGAGACCCUGGGUUCGAUCCUCAGCACCA